AUUUAAAAACACCAUGGAAAACCAAGUUGAUGUUCGAUUGGAUGUGUUAACUGAAAAUUUAACACGAUUAAAUGUUUCAAAUGACGUAAUUUAAAGCGGCAAAAAACGUGUAAAAGGAGCUUCGGUUAAAUGUGUCAUAUUUAGAUGUUUCUGCAUUUGAAAAUAACACACUUAGAUUUGCAGUGCAGAUAAUUCACUUAAGCUUUGGCCGUUUACAUUAAAUGUACGCUGUCCUAUUUACGCCACUGAUAUUAGUUACGCGUAUAACCUUCGAUCAUGGUAACAUCAUGGUUCUAAUCUGCAUCUUGGAUUUUUGCUUCACAAUGCAAUAUAUGUGUCAUCAGCAAGUCUGAUAUUAUAAGUUUAAAACGCGCAAUAGGAAAGAAACUAAAUGCUCGCUGCAUGUGGUAGAUAUUAUAACGAAUGGAACGAGCAAAAGUGGAAUAAGUGAUAUAUGAGAUUCGCAAAUGUCGCGUUAAACAAAAUAAUUAAGAAGAAAGAAUACAAAUAGGAGACAUACAGUUGAAGACAGAAGGAUCGAUCGCAUUUUGAUUCCAUUUAUAAACAAUAUCCGUGUUGCUCUCUUCUGUUGAUGCAAGAUGAAAUUUUUUGCCGGUGUUCUGCUAAUGAUAAUGAUACUAAAUUUGGUGCCACUGAAUUCUUGUCAAGAUAACAUUUCAUGGACAUUCGACAGACCAUUAUUCGUGCAACGCAAUAUUAUAAAACUACCUACAAGAACAAGUGCAACCCCGUGUCCCGAAGGUCACAAAUUGGAUUUUCGGGGAAUAUGUCGUGAACGUGUUAGAUAAUUGAGAGGCUUGAAGACAUCAACAUUCCAAAAAUGUUAACUGAAAACCAGAAGCGAGAUGGAAAUCUAAAAUAUCGUCGCGACUAACAACCGCAAAUUGACAAAAAUAUUCCGCAUAGCAAUGAAAUUUCAAUAAAUUUAUAUUGUUAAUUCUGAUCACAAUACAUAUGUAUUUAAAUUAUAUUACCAAUUAUGCGCAUAUAUAAUAAAUUGCACGUUGUAUCAUAUUCCACAAUUUACGUAUAAAUACAUAUAAAUGAUAGAAAUAACAGUGUCUCUUGUCAGAAAGAAUUAAAAACGUA